rnacentral:rRNA from 1 species
AGUGAACGCUGGCGGUAGGCCCAACACAUGCCAGUCGAACGGCAGCACAGUAAGAGCUUGCUCUUACGGGUGGCGAGUGGCGGACGGGUGAGGAAUACAUCGGAAUCUACUUUUUCGUGGGGGAUAACGUAGGGAAACUUACGCUAAUACCGCAUACGACCUACGGGUGAAAGCAGGGGAUCUUCGGACCUUGCGCGAUUGAAUGAGCCGAUGUCGGAUUAGCUAGUUGGCGGGGUAAAGGCCCACCAAGGCGACGAUCCGUAGCUGGUCUGAGAGGAUGAUCAGCCACACUGGAACUGAGACACGGACCAGACUCCUACGGGAGGCAGCAGUGGGGAAUAUUGGACAAUGGGCGCAAGCCUGAUCCAGCCAUACCGCGUGGGUGAAGAAGGCCUUCGGGUUGUAAAGCCCUUUUGUUGGGAAAGAAAAGCAGCAGGUUAAUACCCCGCUGUUCUGACGGUACCCAAAGAAUAAGCACCGGCUAACUUCGUG